GAGUUUGAUCGUGGCUCAGAUUGAACGCUGGCGGCAGGCCUAACACAUGCAAGUCGAGCGGAUGACGGGAGCUUGCUCCUUGAUUCAGCGGCGGACGGGUGAGUAAUGCCUAGGAAUCUGCCUGGUAGUGGGGGACAACGUUUCGAAAGGAACGCUAAUACCGCAUACGUCCUACGGGAGAAAGCAGGGGACCUUCGGGCCUUGCGCUAUCAGAUGAGCCUAGGUCGGAUUAGCUAGUUGGUGGGGUAAUGGCUCACCAAGGCGACGAUCCGUAACUGGUCUGAGAGGAUGAUCAGUCACACUGGAACUGAGACACGGUCCAGACUCCUACGGGAGGCAGCAGUGGGGAAUAUUGGACAAUGGGCGAAAGCCUGAUCCAGCCAUGCCGCGUGUGUGAAGAAGGUCUUCGGAUUGUAAAGCACUUUAAGUUGGGAGGAAGGGCAGUAAGUUAAUAACCUUGCUGUUUUGACGUUACCGACAGAAUAAGCACCGGCUAACUCUGUGCCAGCCGCCG
rnacentral:rRNA from 1 species